GAUGCUGCUCAGGCGCUGCCAGGCAGCAUACGACGGCCAUGCGCCCAAGCCCAUGGCUACUGGCUUCCGACGCGGUGCUCUCCCCAGCGCACUGGUCACUCACGGUAUCAUGUAGUCCGUCGCAUACAACCAACUGCAACAAUGCUCACGCCCCCCGACGCUUCCAUUUGCAACCAUACAAAGUUCAGGCCUGCCAAGAGAAAAACAAUCAAAAUUUGCCCAUGUCCCGAUGCAGAUAUCAUGGAAGGUGUCGGUCUUCCCGUCCCGUAGACAGGCGAAAGAUUCACAAAGAUCGCCACAUUCUUGGGUGAUUUGGGUGCAAAUCACCGAUGAUCACACACUGUAUAGUGAAGCAGCUGUGGGGCACAAAAGGAAGACCUGUCGACCGACACUGGACUGUCAUGUCAGGUAGGAGCACUGAAGCUUGUUGCCUGAACUUUCAUGAAAUCUUUGACACAAGGAGAGGGUAACUAGAGGGUUAUUGAAGCUUUGUUGGAUAGUAGAUGGAGUGGAGUGGCAGGGGAAUUUAAGAGUAUAAUCGAUUUUACUAUUUGCUUUUGAGCGCUCUUGUCGUCAAAGGAAGAUGCAUCUUUGGAACAGAGGAGGUUUUCUGCACGUAUGAGGUAGCUUUCGGGUACACUGUUCACCUCCAUCAUAUAAGGCCCGGUCCUGCAAAUGUCGUUGACACUAGAGCUGAUGCAUGAUCCGGACUCCUGGAUCCACCAAUGCCAAUGCAUGCUUAGGCCAGCUCAUACUAGAAGCUCCUUGCUGAUAGCCUGAUGCUGACUUGUCUAGUGGCCAAGAUAAAUUUCACUGGUUUUUCAUCCAGAUUGUAAAAUGCCACAGUUGCCGAAUCGCGCCUUCGAGUUGAAGGCCCGACCUUGUUUGCUCGUACUCUUGUAACUAGAUUUAAGCCAUGCCAAUUAUGAUGUCAAGAGGGAAAUCUGAUCAUGUUCAAGGGGGGAUGCUGAUGCUGCAUCCCAUGUUCAGUCUCACCUACUACUGUACCAUACUCCUAACUUUGAUUCCAGCGUGGUGUACUUUUCUCAGCAAAAUACAAAACAAACCGCGAAUUUGGGGAACAAUGUGAUGUAGAUGUGCAGUGACAAAUCAAAGUAA